rnacentral:SRP_RNA from 1 species
GCUUAGCAGUUUUGCCUGAGCUGGGACUGGCACUAACACUUUGUCUUGAGCCCAGGAGCUCUGGGCUAUGCCAAUCGGGUGUUUCUUUGGAAUCAAUAUGGUGACCAUCCAGGAGCAGAGGAUCACCAGGUUGACUAAGGAGUGGUGAACUGGCCCAGGUGGGAAACAGAACAGGUAAAAACUUCCGUGCUGAUCAGUAUUGGGAUCACAUGUGUGAAUAGCCAUUGUACUCUAGCUUCGGCAACAUAGUGAGACCCUCUCUCU